rnacentral:rRNA from 1 species
AUGCCCCUGCAGCUUUGGUCCAUCAAGGGGGCGGAGAAGGUGCUCGGCAAGAAGUGCAUCGUAGACCGGCUCGACUCCAGGACGCUCGAACGCGGGCACACGAAGACAUUCGCAUGCUGGGUGUGGGUGUGGGAUGUGGCACUCAUCCCUACCACGCACACGCUCUGGAGGACGGCCCGGGGCACGGGGCACAUUGAGGCCAUGCAAGGCUUCUCACCGACGAGUAGGGAGGUCGCCUCUCCGCCGCGCGUCAAGCGCCAUGAUCUGCUCAUCCACAUUGACAUGGUGGAGGACUGGUCCCCGCUGUCGCCGCGCUCAUCACACUCGGCUCAGAGUGGCCUUCCAUCCUCGAGCUCUGAGGAGGGGCGCAAAGUGCCAGAGAUCUGGCCCGGUUCCUAG